rnacentral:rRNA from 1 species
UAGCAUGGAAUAAUAGAAUAGGACUAUGGUCUUAUUUUGUUGGUUUGGGGGCUGUAGUAAUGAUUAAUAGGGAUAGUUGGGGGCAUUUGUAUUCCGACGUCAGAGGUGAAAUUCUUGGAUUGCCGGAAGACAAACUACUGCGAAAGCAUUUGCCAAGGAUGUUUUCAUUGAUCAAGAACGAAGGAAGGGGGAUCGAAAACGAUUAGAUACCGUUGUAGUCUCUUCUGUAAACUAUGCCAAUUGGGGAUCGGUACAGGAUUUUUAAUGACUGUAUCGGCACCCGAAGAGAAAUCUUUAAAUGAGGUUCGGGGGGGAGUAUGGUCGCAAGGCUGAAACUUAAAGGAAUUGACGGAAGGGCACCACCAGGUGUGGAGCCUGCGGCUUAAUUUGACUCAACACGGGGAAACUCACCAGGUCCAGACACAAUAAGGAUUGACAGAUUGAUAGCUCUUUCUUGAUCUUGUGGUUGGUGGUGCAUGGCCGUUCUUAGUUGGUGGAGUGAUUUGUCUGGUUAAUUCCGAUAACGAACGAGACCUUAACCUGCUAAAUAGUCCCAUGAACUUUGGUUCAUGGUGACUUCUUAGAGGGACUAUCGACUUUAGUCGAUGGAGGUUUGAGGCAAUAACAGGUCUGUGAUGCCCUUAGAUGUUCUGGGCUGCACGCGCGCUACACUGACGAAGCCAGCGAGUUACAACCUUGGCCGGAAGGUCUGGGUAAUCUUGUGAAACUUCAUCGUGCUGGGGAUAGAGCAUUGCAAU